GGGAUUAAUGAAGCAGUGUGCAACUGUGUUGAAGAAUUGCAAGCAAGGUGCAAAACAGAAGAUGCGUUUAAGGUAUUGUCACAUUGUGUUUUAGCUAUUGUUACAAGAAGUUUUGGAUUUGAAAUUUUAG